CUACGGGGCGCUGCAGUGAGGAAUAUUGCGCAAUGGGCGAAAGCCUGACGCAGCGACGCCGCGUGAAGGAUGAAGGUCUUCGGAUUGUAAACUUCUGUUAAGUGGGAAGAAAUCCUUGUCAAUAAUACUGGCAAGGGAUGACGGUACCAUUAGAGAAAGCACCGGCUAACUUCGUGCCAGCAGCCGCGGUAAUACGAGGGGUGCAAACGUUAUUCGGAUUUACUGGGCGUAAAGGGUGUGUAGGCGGCAUUUCAAGUCUACUGUUAAAUCUUCCGGCCUAACCGGAAGGCUGCGGUGGAGACUGAAUGGCUAGAGUAUGGAAGAGGGAAGUGGAAUUCUCGGAGUAGCGGUAAAAUGCGUGGAUCUCGAGAGGAACACCGAUGGCGAAGGCAGCUUCUUGGUCCAUUUCUGACGCUGAGACACGAAAGCGUGGGGAGCAAACAGGAUUAGAUACCCGUGUAGUC
rnacentral:rRNA from 1 species